UCCCUAGUGGCUCAGCUGGUGAAGAAUCCACCUGCAAUGUGGGAGACCCGGGUUCGAUCCCUGGGUUGGGAA
rfam:Ovis aries breed Texel chromosome 14, whole genome shotgun sequence.